CUUUUUCUUUUUCUUUCCCUUUCCCUUCCCCUCUCCUUUCACGUGCAGCAGCCCUAAGUCCUCUUCCCCGAUUCGAGCCGUCGCUCAGCCACCACUCUCCGUCGCUCGUCCUCCGCGAGCCAGCUACCUCGCCUCUUCAGCCGACCCAACCCACUCUCGUCACGUCGCUGCAAAAGCUCAGCCCCUCGCCAUUUUGCCCAACUGGAACCCACUCAGUCGUCAUUUCUCUUCAGUAGCGCGCCACCCUUGCCAAGACUAGAUCAGCGCUUCAAUCGUCGUUUAUGACUUUAGCUUUCGGCCGCCUUUCCACGCUCGCCUAGCUGCCGAUCGAAACGUAGCUGUUGCUACAACCGUCGACUCCAGCCCUGUCUCUGUUUCACCACUGUUGUAGCCAAGGUACCGCCUGCGUCUACACUGUUUUGCAAUGGUCCGACCAGCUUCAUCCGUCCAGUUGUGCCAUUUUUUUUUCUUUCGGUCACGACCAUCGCUGCCGCUGUCAUUUGGGUCUCGUUGGAUUCUUGAAUAAUUUGGAUUCAAAGAUUGGAGAUUUUGAGACAUUGCUUUGAGUUUGAGACUAUUUCCGAUAAAAAUUGUUCAAAUUUGCAUGGGGUGCGUUCGGACCAACACACUUUGGUCCUGAUUCAAGAUUCAUCUAAACUAGGAGGAAGAUUAUUUUUCUCGUCGCUUAGACAUAAUUUUGGGUAAGGGUAGAGAUACACCGGUGAUGGCGCAGCGGAAUUCGUGAUCGAGCUACUGGGACUAGU